rnacentral:rRNA from 1 species
UACGGGGGGGGCAAGCGUUGUCCGAAGUUACUGGGCGUAAAGCGCGCGUAGGCGGGCUAUUAAGUGAGAAGUGAAAGGCUGGGGCUCAACCCCAUGCAGUGCUUCUCAUACUGGUAGUCUUGAGGGCGGUAGAGAGAAGUGGAAUGCCACGUGUAGCAGUGAAAUGCGUAGAGAUGUGGCGGAACACCGAUGGCGAAGGCAGCCCCCUGGGCUGAGAUUGACGCUCAGGCACGAAA